rnacentral:pre_miRNA from 1 species
GAUUUCAACUGAAAAAGUCAUCAACAACAAAGUUAUAUAACUCAUCAAGAUCUAUAACUUUUAUUUUGGUUGUUUCUUAAUCCGACAAAGUGAUAGUAAUAUUGUUCACAAAAUUUACAUGUCUCAUAUAUUUUUAUAAACUAUAAGAGACAUAUGUAAACUUUAUGAACAAUGUUACUAUCACUUUAUCAGAUGAAGAAAUGACUAAAAUAAAAGUUAUAUGUCUUGAUGAGCUCUGUAACUUUUAUGUUCAUGACUUUUUCAGCUGAAAUU